UACGGAGGGUGCAAACGUUGCUCGGAAUCAUUGGGCGUAAAGCGCACGUAGGCGGUCCAGCAAGUCGGGUGUGAAAGCCCUCGGCUCAACCGAGGAAGUGCAUUCGAAACUAGUGGACUUGAAUACUGGAGAGGGUCGCGGAAUUCCCGGUGUAGAGGUGAAAUUCGUAGAUAUCGGGAGGAACACCAGUGGCGAAGGCGGCUUUCUGGACAGUUACCGACGCUGAGGCACGAAAGCUAGGGGAGCAAACGGG
rnacentral:rRNA from 1 species